UGUGGCAAACUCCAAAAUCUUUUUUCUUUUUUCGCACAAGUCAAAAGAACCCCGACCCAAGGUCUUUUUCCAUUUCCUAAAAAGAUUUAAGAAACCAAAAAUCCAUCCCCUAAAUCUUAAGGCAUGAGCCCGAGGAAAGAUCCGCGCUCACGAGCAAAGACGACCUCUACUCACCUUAGGGUCUGGGGGCGGAUCCGGACUUCUAAAAAACUAUUAAGGAAAAAGGAAAAAGACUUAGGCCCGGGGACUCCGGCUAGCGCAGACUCUAAGUAGCUCACCCGACCUCGCGCUGCCGAGGUCGGGUCGGCAUAGGGAAAAAAGAGAACAAGACACUCAAAGCUUAAAAGGAACAAUCAUAUAAAAAUUCAUACUUAGCAU
rnacentral:lncRNA from 1 species